rnacentral:hammerhead_ribozyme from 1 species
AUCCAGUUGACGAAUCCUAAAUAGGACGAAACCCGAGUCCUGGAU